ACGGAGGGUGCUAGCGUUGUUCGGAAUCACUGGGCGUAAAGGGCGCGUAGGCGGCCUCAGGUGUCGGAUGUGAAAGCCCGGGGCUCAACCCCGGAGGUGCAUCCGAAACUAUGGGGCUGGAGGUCGGAAGAGGAGGGUGGAAUACCCAGUGUAGAGGUGAAAUUCGUAGAUAUUGGGUGGAACACCGGUGGCGAAAGCGGCUCUCUGGUCCGGACCUGACGCUGAGGCGCGAAAGCGUGGGGAGCAAACAGG
rnacentral:rRNA from 1 species